UGUCCCUGUGGUGGUGGUGGUGGUGCUGGCUGCUGUUCUGCUGUUCUUCUACAAAAAGAGGACUAAGCACUCUGAUGGUUCAAACCAGAGAGGAAAAACAGACAUCACCAGGACUGAGAUUGACCUCUAUGAGAACUGCCCUCCACUCUCCACCCGUGCAGACACCACCUACCAGAGUCUGGAUCCAGCCUCCAGGGAUCUGGACCGCAUCUACUCUACUCUCUCUUAGCACUGCAGGAUGGAAACAUUGGUCUCAUCAAUGCAGAAAUCUUCGAGAGUACAGGAAGUGAAGGAGGAAACAUC